GGAGGAGAUGGAUGGGUGGUUCUAGGUUUGGGAAACAUGGAUCAGGACCCUGUGGAAAUUUAGGUUUUAUUCUUUGCAUUUAUUAUUUUCUUUGCUGCUAUUAUUCAGGGAUAAACUUGUGGACUGAGAAUACUUACCUCUUCAUGAGAGGCACUAUAAACCUGUGUCAACGAUUUUAUUUUCUCUUUCUAUUCCACACUCAGAUAUUUUUCUCAGCAACGGAGUCAUUUAAUAACAGUGUUUCGUUUCGUUUCCUUUCAUUUCCUUUGUUGUCAAAACAACCUUUGUGUCUUUCUUACUUCUCGGCUAUGGUAUUUAGUUUCACUACGUUCUCAGGAUGUUUUAUUUGGAAGUGAUGUGGUUAUUUAUUUGUGGAUUGAGUUCCAUUCCUUUAGACUUGCAUUUGUUUGUGUUCAUUGCUAUCAAACAACUUUCUUCUUUUUAAGUUUAUAGAGCCCUUUAUUUUUUAAUGAAACCCACUAAAUGUUAUUUAUUUAUUUUUCUUUCUUUUUCAUCAUUUCCUACUUAUUUGUGUUUCUAAUAGGCUUGGGAUGCGUUUUGGGUUUAUAAGAGUAUUAGAGGCACUUGAAUUUGGGGAGGAUUUGUCUUUUACUAUGUGGUUGGUUGUUGAAUCAGUGGCUGUUUUGGGAAUUUUGGUGAUCUUGUACUCUUUACUGAUACGAGACCUCAUCUUAUUGAUUGCUAUAUUUCUCAAUUUUGAGACCUCAUUUUAUUGAUUGCUAUAUUUCUCAAUUUUAAUCCCAUACUGGUCUUGGAUUUUGGGACAGCUAAUAUCUUUGCACACUGAAGAUUAAUUUACUCGAUGAUCGAGAAACAAAUUGUAUGUAUUUUAUAUUUAUUGUGCAGUAUAGAGUUAGAACUGUGUGGGACAGCUCAUGUAACGAACAUGAUCUGGUGAUGUAUCUCUGAUUUUGGGAUCUGUAUUUUUUUCUAUUAAAUUUAUAGUUUAGCAGUUUUCAAGAUACGGUAGUUUUUAUAUGAUAAGUACAUCCAGUUUUAAUUGGAUACCCUUUAUUAGCAACAGUCCUUUUGGAAUAGGAUUUGUUUCGGCAUAAAUCUGAAAGUUCAACUUGAAACAGCAGCUCAUGAUAGUGUUUUCUCUCUCAACAAAACACUAACCCGACGCUUCAUGUGCAAGGAAUUUGAAGCGGCUAGGUGAGGCACUCAAGGGAUGUGUCUCGCCGGUCACGUGACCUGUUAUGUAAAAUGACUCUCGGCAACAGAUAUCUCAGCCCUUGCAUCAUCAAUGAAGACCGUAGCAAAAUGUGAUACUUAUGUGAAUUGCAAAAUUCCGUGAGCCAGCGAAAUGCGGAUUUGCUUAGCACUACCAUCUGCAUGAAGUUGAAAAUUAAACAAGAACUGCUCAAGAUAACCUAAUUUCUUAUGUGUUGAGCCGGAGUUAAUCACCAUACAUUAAUAUUUGAUUGUGAUUUGUUUGUCUGCAGCAGGGUUUUGUUUAGUUGUGUGAUGACCUGUGUCUUAUCGAGCCUUUUAUGAGCAACUAAGUCUCCACUGGUUUUUGAAUUCCUUAAGUUUAAAUAUAGUUCUUAAAUUUUUUAUGUCUAGGUGUUGAUUCGUUUGUGUUCUUUCCUUUUUAGCAUGUAAGACUGGUUGAGGAUUAAAAUCGCAAGUGUACACGAAAGACAUGCAACAGAUGUGAGGUAAGAUAUCUAAAUACCUGAAGGAGAUCCUUGAUACUUUAGACUGCGUUUUAUGUCUAGUUUCUUUCUUACUUCUCAGCUAUCGUAUUUAGUCUUGGGUUGUGUUAUUUGGAAGUGACGUGGUUAUUCAUUCGAGGAUUGAUUCCAUUCCCUUCUACUUGCAUUUGUUUGUGUUCAUUGCUAUCAAACAACUUUCUUACUUUUCCUACUUAUUUGUGUUUCUCAUAGGCUUGGGAUGCGUUCUGGGUUUAUAAGAGUAUUAGAGGCACUUGAAUUUGGGGAGAAUUUGACUUUUACUGUGGUUGGUUGUAAAAGCAGUGGCUGUCUUGUGAAUUUUGGAUAUGAUCUUAUACUCUUUACUGGUCUGAUCAUCUUAUUGAUUGCUAUAUUUCUCAAUUUUAAUCCCUUAAUGAUCUUCUUCAAUCUGAGAAGCUUGUUAAUUUGGUCUUAUAAUAUAAUUUUUCUGGACUUGAUCACCAAACAUAAAGGUUGCAUUGCCAACCUGUUUCUCUCCAUCAGUACUUGGAAUUGUUUCUUGUAACACCGUUUUGUAAUCUCUUAAGAUAGAUAUUAGUUUUCUUGAUUUAAUUCUCCAAGCUUUCUCUUGUCCUCUACAGGGAGAUAAUGGAUGUGUGUCAUAUGUUUGGGAAACAUGGAAAUCCUGAAACUUUAGAUUUUUUUUAUCUUUUGCAUUCAUUAUUUUUUUUUCUAAUUAUUCUUUGGAUAAUCUUGCAGAGUGGGAUUUCAUGCCUAAUUGUAACAGGCAAAAGAGUUUAAGCAGGAUUCCGGUUGAGGAUUAAAAAACAUAAAUUUGAAUAUAGUUCUUGUUUGAUUAAUGAAAUCUAUCAAAUCUAGCUGUUUGAUCUGUGAUUAUGUUGAUUCCUUUCCAGCACAUUAAAGGUUAAUAAUAAUACAAUGGUCAGUGAAGAUGUCUCCCUUUUAUUUGAAACUUUGUACAUUGAGCAUAUUUUUCGAGACUGAUAUGUGAGGUAGGAUGUUGAAACAGUAGCCAGGGAUCUGUGAAGCUUUAGGUUUUGUUACCCUAAUAUUUGUUAUGUCUUUAUUUGUGAAUGACUAAACUUCUUGUUUGGAUUCUAAGUUUUGGUUGGUUUCACUGCUAACCCUGUAGUGUGACUGGCAACAGGUUUAUAAAAUGUUAACUUCUCUUAAAUCAUUUCUUUCAGCUUUUGGGUCAUGUUUUUUUUUAAAUUCUUAGUGAUUUGAAUUUCUAACAACUUAUAUGAAGUACUGGAUCAAUAGUGAAAAAAAAGAUACGGAAAAAUAUCGUGGCCAUUAAUAGUUUGUGUUUGUUGUCCUGUUUCUCUGUUGUCAGUGAACUCUGCUUCUUUC
rnacentral:lncRNA from 1 species